GAGUUUGAUCUUGGCUCAGAUUGAACGCUGGCGGCAUGCUUUACACAUGCAAGUCGAACGGCAGCACGGGGUUUACCCUGGUGGCGAGUGGCGAACGGGUGAGGAAUACAUCGGAACGUGUCUAUAAGUGGGGAUAACGCAUCGAAAGAUGUGCUAAUACCGCAUAAUCUCUCAGGAGAAAAGCAGGGGAUCGCAAGACCUUGCGCUUUAGGAGCGGCCGAUGCCUGAUUAGCUUGUUGGUAAGGUAAAAGCUUACCAAGGCUUCGAUCAGUAGCUGGUCUGAGAGGACGACCAGCCACACUGGGACUGAGACACGGCCCAGACUCCUACGGGAGGCAGCAGUGGGAAUUUUGGACAAUGGGGAAACCCUGAUCCAGCCAUGCCGCGUGAGUGAAGAAGGCCUUC
rnacentral:rRNA from 1 species